ensembl:rRNA 5S_rRNA 5S ribosomal RNA
GUCUAUGGCCAUACCACCCUUAAUGUGCCCAAUCUCAUCUGAUCUUGGAAGCUAAGCAGGGUCAGGCCAGGCUAGUACUUGGAUGGGAGAGAUGACUUUUUAAAAAGUGAGUUUAAUGACAUGGCCU